UGCAGUGGAAGGUUAAAUUCUGACUCAAGCUUGCAGGAUGACAAGAUAUAUCUUCUUGAAUGGGCUUGGAAUCUACAUGAAAAUAACCAUGAAGUGGAGCUAGUGGAUGCAAAUUUAUCUGAAUUCAAUGAGGAAGAAGUAAAACGAGUGAUAGGAAUAUCUCUUUUGUGCACUCAAACAUCCCCAACGCUACGCCCAUCCAUGUCCCGUGUAGUGGCAAUGCUUUCAGGAGACAUUGAAGUUAGUGAUGUAACUUCGCGGCCCGGAUAUCUGACUGACUGGAAAUUUAAUGAUAAAACCAGUUUUAUGAGUGAUGAUAUUGCUGAUACUGCAAAAAAUCACUACAGCCACUACAGCUCAUCGACUAGUACAACAAGAAUGGCGGCUGACACAGAUCAUUCACCGAUAAAUGUCACUAAUUCUACGCUUGAAGAGAUCAUCGGAGAAGGUAGGUGAAGGCUGCUAUUUCUGAAGGGAAGAAAACUGAGAUCGUUGCUCAUCAAAUACAUUGCAUGAAAUGAGAUUACUAUACUGUAAAUGAAUGACUUUUUCCUUUAUUUUAUUUGUAUAAUAUAAGUUUGUCACCUUUGUAUCAUGUAUAGCAUGUACAGAGAAGGAUAUUACUAGUGAUGGAAUGUAUUGCAGUUUGCUUUUCAGUGAUGUA